rnacentral:rRNA from 1 species
AUGUCAAGUCUUGAUGGCCCUGAUGAAUUGGGCUACACACGUGUUACAAUGGUAACUACAAAAAGAAGCGAUAAUGUGAAUUGGAGCAAAUCUCAAAAAGUUAUCUUAGUUCGGAUUGCUUUCUGAAAUUCGAAAGCAUGAAGCUGGAAUCGCAAGUAAUCGUAAAUCAUGAAGUUACGGUGAACAGUUCAACGAAUCUC